rnacentral:rRNA from 1 species
ACGCUGGCGGCAGGCCUAACACAUGCAAGUCGAGCGGCAGCACGGGUACUUGUACCUGGUGGCGAGCGGCGGACGGGUGAGUAAUGCCUAGGAAUCUGCCUGGUAGUGGGGGAUAACGCUCGGAAACGGACGCUAAUACCGCAUACGUCCUACGGGAGAAAGCAGGGGACCUUCGGGCCUUGCGCUAUCAGAUGAGCCUAGGUCGGAUUAGCUAGUUGGUGGGGUAAUGGCUCACCAAGGCGACGAUCCGUAACUGGUCUGAGAGGAUGAUCAGUCACACUGGAACUGAGACACGGUCCAGACUCCUACGGGAGGCAGCAGUGGGGAAUAUUGGACAAUGGGCGAAAGCCUGAUCCAGCCAUGCCGCGUGUGUGAAGAAGGUCUUCGGAUUGUAAAGCACUUUAAGUUGGGAGGAAGGGCAGUUACCUAAUACGUUAGUGUUUUGACGUUACCGACAGAAUAAGCACCGGCUAACUCUGUGCCAGCAGCCGCGGUAAUACAGAGGGUGCAAGCGUUAGUCGGAAUUACUGGGCGUAAAGCGCGCGUAGGUGGUUAGUUAAGUUGGAUGUGAAAUCCCCGGGCUCAACCUGGGAACUGCAUUCAAAACUGACUGACUAGAGUAUGGUAGAGGGUGGUGGAAUUUCCUGUGUAGCGGUGAAAUGCGUAGAUAUAGGAAGGAACACCAGUGGCGAAGGCGACCACCUGGACUGAUACUGACACUGAGGUGCGAAAGCGUGGGGAGCAAAC